rnacentral:lncRNA from 1 species
CCGGCCUCGCUAGGGUGCCACCCCAGAUUCCUGCUAAUAGAGUGCCCUAGGAAGCCACCAUAAUUUGUCACAAUUGGUAUGAGAUGAAAGCCUAUUUGCCAUCUUUGUAUGUACUCCCUACAAACCGUUUCGAUACCUCAUAGCCACAUGAUACUUUACAUGUCUCUAGUGUUUGCACUUAAACUCUAGCACACCUUCCCGCUCAGGAAACGGGAGAGGAGAAAGGUGGAGAAUUCACCAAGUAACCCCAUGAUAAGAACAGCAGCACAGCUCUGUUACCAGGCUGCCUUUUACCUCUCCCCCUCAGGCUUUCCAUCUGAUGGUCCCCUGGUGUGUGCCCUGGAACAGGAGCGAAGGCUCCGCCUCCCUCCGAAGCCACCUCCCCCUUUGCAGCCCCUUCUCCGAGGUGGGCAAGGGUUGGAAGCUGCUCUAAGCUGCCCCCGUUUUCUGCGGUAUCCACGGCAGCAUCUGAUCAGCAGCCUGGCAGAGGCAAGGCCAGAGGAACUGACUCCCCACGUGAUGGUGCUCCUGGCCCAGCACCUGGCCCGGCACCGGUUGCGGGAGCCCCAGCUUCUGGAAGCCAUUGCCCACUUCCUGGUGGUUCAGGAAACGCAACUCAGCAGCAAGGUGGUACAGAAGUUGGUCCUGCCCUUUGGGCGACUGAACUACCUGCCCCUGGAACAGCAGUUUAUGCCCUGCCUUGAGAGGAUCCUGGCUCGGGAAGCAGGGGUGGCACCCCUGGCUACAGUCAACAUCUUGAUGUCACUGUGCCAACUGCGGUGCCUGCCCUUCAGAGCCCUGCACUUUGUUUUUUCCCCUGGCUUCAUCAACUACAUCAGUGGCACCCCUCAUGCUCUGAUUGUGCGUCGCUACCUCUCCCUGCUGGACACGGCCGUGGAGCUGGAGCUCCCAGGAUACCGGGGUCCCCGCCUUCCCCGAAGGCAGCAAGUGCCCAUCUUUCCCCAGCCUCUCAUCACCGACCGUGCCCGCUGCAAGUACAGGUGGAUGGGGCAGCCUGGGGCAAGGGGAGGGGCCAGCCUGGGACCAGCAGAGUGGAAAAGCCAGAGGGACCAUGAAGCGCCAAAGCUAAGGAGCUCUCGGCCACCAUAAAACUGGGCCCUGAAGCAGCAGAGGGCUUUGCCCAGGGUGGUGGCACUAGACUGGGACAGAUUAGGAUGAGGUGCCGGGCCCUUCCUGCUACUGGUGUCCUUUCUCCUCAGUCACAAGGACAUAGUAGCUGAGGGGUUGCGCCAGCUGCUGGGGGAGGAGAAAUACCGCCAGGACCUGACUGUGCCUCCAGGCUACUGCACAGGUGAGCAAGGGGCAGGCGGCAGGCCCGGGGAGACGGAGCCCUGGCUAAGGCCGCCGGCCCUGCUCCCCUCCAGACUUCCUGCUGUGCGCCAGCAGCUCUGGUGCUGUGCUUCCCGUGAGGACCCAGGACCCCUUCCUGCCAUACCCACCAAGGUCCUGCCCACAGGGCCAGGCUGCCUCUAGCGCCACUACUCGAGACCCUGCCCAGAGGUAAAGGAGGCAGGGUGGGGGAGCCCUGGCCACCUUGCCCGCCAUGCCCUGAGCCACGUCCCUCCCCCUGCAGGGUGGUGCUGGUGUUGCGGGAACGCUGGCAUUUCUGCCGGGACGGCCGGGUGCUGCUGGGCUCGAGGGCCCUGAGGGAGCGGCACCUAGGCCUGAUGGGCUACCAGCUCCUGCCGCUACCCUUCGAGGAACUGGAGUCCCAGAGAGGCCUGCCCCAGCUCAAGAGCUACCUGAGGCAGAAGCUCCAGGCCCUGGGCCUGCGCUGGGGGCCUGAAGGGGGCUGAGGGGUUGAUGUGGGGUUCAGGAUGGCCCCCCCAUGGGGGGUGGAUGAUUUGCACUUUGGUUCCCUGUGUUUUGAUUUCUCAUUAAAG